GACGAACGCUGGCGGCGUGCCUAAUACAUGCAAGUCGAGCGGACCGACCAGGCGCUUGCUCUUGUUCGGUUAGCGGCGGACGGGUGAGUCACACGUGGGUAACCUGCCCGUAAGAGCGGGAUAACUACGGGACACCGGCGCUAAUACGAGAUAACACCGAAGUCCGCAUGGUCUUUGGUUGAAAGGCGGCUUCGGCUGCCACUUACGGGUGGGCCCGCGGCGCAUUGGGUAGUUGGUGAGGUAAAGGCUCACCAGGGCGGCGUAGCGUAGCCGGCAGGAGAUGGUGGCCGGCCACACUGGGACGGAGACAGGGCCCAUAGGCAUACGGGAGGCAGCCGGAGGGAAUCGGGCGCAAGGGGCGAGAGUCUGACGGAGCGGCGCCGCGUGAGCGAAGAAGGACGUCGGGUGGUGAAGCUCGGUUGUUAGGGAAGAAGACGCGUCGUCCUAACAGGGCGGCGCGGUGACGGUAACUAACGAGAAAGCCCCGGCUAACUACGUG
rnacentral:rRNA from 1 species